UUACAUGUAAAUUUUUGUGAGUAAUAUUUUGUAUAAUAAAGAUUAAAAGUUAUUCUCUAAAAGAGAUUAAUUCAUAUGUAAUUAAUUAAAUACCCGCAGUUUUUAUUAUUAUUAUAUUUAAUAUUUUAAGAUAUAGUUUCCUUAAAUUUGAUUGGCUAAAAUUGUGCCAGCAGCCGCGGUUAUACAAUUAAUCAAAGUUAAUUUUAUUUAUUAGAUAUUAUUUAUGUAAGAUUAGAUUUUUAAUUAUUUUGUUUUUAGGUGAAAUUUAAAUAAUUGUUAUUAAAAUUUGGUUAUAAUAUUAUAUGAAAUUUUAUUAUGUAGACAAGGAUUAGAUACCCUUUUAUUUUAAAUGUAAAUCUUUCUGUUUAGUAUUAUUAGUUUAGUCUUUAAAUUAAAAGAAUUUGACGGUAAUUUGAUCAUUUCAGAGGAACCUGUCCUGUAAUUGAUAAUCCACGAUAAAUUUUACCUUAAUUUAUUGUUUGUAUAUCUCUGUUUAUGAGUAUUUUAUUAGAAUUUAUUUAUAUUCUCUUUAUAUUAAUAUUUUAAUAUAUAUCAGGUCAAGGUGCAGCUAUAUUAAGGGUUGAGAUGGGUUACAUUUAAUUUAAUAUUUAUGGAUUAUUUAGUUUUAUUAUUAAAAUGAAAUUGGAUUUGAAUGUAAUAAUUAUUAUCUUUUAUUUAUGAUAAUUGCUCUUGAUUAAGUACACAUCGCCCGUCGCUCUCAUUUAUAAGGUGAGAUAAGUCGUAACAAAGUAGGCUUAUCGGAAGGUGAGCCUGGAAUUAUA
rnacentral:ncRNA from 1 species